GACGAACGCUGGCGGCGUGCCUAACACAUGCAAGUCGAACGGAAAGGCCCUGCUUUUGUGGGGUGCUCGAGUGGCGAACGGGUGAGUAACACGUGAGUAACCUGCCCUUGACUUUGGGAUAACUUCAGGAAACUGGGGCUAAUACCGGAUAGGAGCUCCUGCUGCAUGGUGGGGGUUGGAAAGUUUCGGCGGUUGGGGAUGGACUCGCGGCUUAUCAGCUUGUUGGUGGGGUAGUGGCUUACCAAGGCUUCGACGGGUAGCCGGCCUGAGAGGGUGACCGGCCACAUUGGGACUGAGAUACGGCCCAGACUCCUACGGGAGGCAGCAGUGGGGAAUAUUGCACAAUGGGCGGAAGCCUGAUGCAGCAACGCCGCGCGCGGGAUGACGGCCUUCGGGUUGUAAACCGCUUUCGCCUGUGACGAAGCGUGAGUGACGGUAAUGGGUAAAGAAGCACCGGCUAACUACGUGCCAGCAGCCGCGGUGAUACGUAGGGUGCGAGCGUUGUCCGGAUUUAUUGGGCGUAAAGGGCUCGUAGGUGGUUGAUCGCGUCGGAAGUGUAAUCUUGGGGCUUAACCCUGAGCGUGCUUUCGAUACGGGUUAACUUGAGGAAGGUAGGGGAGAAUGGAAUUCCUGGUGGAGCGGUGGAAUGCGCAGAUAUCAGGAGGAACACCAGUGGCGAAGGCGGUUCUCUGGGCCUUUCCUGACGCUGAGGAGCGAAAGCGUGGGGAGCGAACAGGCUUAGAUACCCUGGUAGUCCACGCUGUAAACGGUGGGUACUAGGUGUGGGGUCCAUUCCACGGGUUCCGUGCCGUAGCUAACGCUUUAAGUACCCCGCCUGGGGAGUACGGCCGCAAGGCUAAAACUCAAAGGAAUUGACGGGGCCCCGCACAAGCGGCGGAGCAUGCGGAUUAAUUCGAUGCAACGCGUAGAACCUUACCUGGGUUUGACAUGGAUCGGGAGUGCUCAGAGAUGGGUGUGCCUCUUUUGGGGUCGGUUCACAGGUGGUGCAUGCCUGUCGUCAGCUCGUGUCGUGAGAUGUUGGGUUAAGUCCCGCAACGAGCGCAACCCUUGUUCACUGUUGCCAGCACGUUAUGGUGGGGACUCAGUGGAGACCGCCGGGGUCAACUCGGAGGAAGGUGGGGAUGACGUCAAGUCAUCAUGCCCCUUAUGUCCAGGGCUUCACGCAUGCUACAAUGGCUGGUACAGAGAGUGGCGAGCCUGUGAGGGUGAGCGAAUCUCGGAAAGCCGGUCUCAGUUCGGAUUGGGGUCUGCAACUCGACCUCAUGAAGUCGGAGUCGCUAGUAAUCGCAGAUCAGCAACGCUGCGGUGAAUACGUUCCCGGG
rnacentral:rRNA from 1 species